rnacentral:tRNA from 1 species
GAGAGGGUAACAAAACAAGAACUGCUAAUUCCUGUUCCCGCAUUUAAAACUGCGGCUCACUCGC